CAGCAAAAUCAAGAAGAGCUGCCAUUGGUGAAUAAAGAUGCCAACAGUCAACAGCUGGGCAGAAGACACACAGGUAGGGUUCAGCAUCCCAGGACUUCUGGCAUCAGACAAGAACCACGAGUGGGAAAGAAGGUGAAGGGAGUAGGAAGCCACCACGGAUCAGCAAAGAUACCUGAUCCACUAUGUUCAUUGCAACCUUGUUUAUAAUAGCCAGAAGUUGGAAAGAACCCAGAUGACCUUCAACAGAGCAAUGGAUUAAAAAAAAAUGUGGUACAUCUACACAGUGGAGUACUACUCAGCUUUCAAAAACAAUGACUUCAUGAAAUUCAUAGGCAAAUGGAAUGAACUAGAAAAUAUCAUCCUGAG
ensembl:lncRNA